rnacentral:rRNA from 1 species
UAUUUUAUGGGGAGACAGUACAGUAGUCAUCCUCUCGUAUCAAAGACUAAGCCAUGCAUGUGUUAAUAUAAAUUUUCUUCUUGGAGCGAGCGAAUGGCUCAUUCUAUCAGUUAUAGUUAAUAAGAAGAAAUGUACUGGAUGGAUACCCGUAGUAUUUCUAGAACUAAUCCAUGAUCCAUUCCUGGUCUGUGAAGCGGGGUAUUUAUUAGAAUGAAAACCAAUUGAUUUCGUAUGUUGGGGAGUAAUAAUACCUUGUCAUUUCCCAUGAAUAGGUAGAGAUGUUUCUUCAAAGUUUUUCCCCUCUCAUCUUUCGAGGGUAGUGUAUGGGUCUCCCAUCGCAGUCACGGGUAGAGAAGAUUGGGGGUUAGUUUUCGGAGGGGGAGCGUGAGAGACGUUUCCCACCCCCAAGGAAGACAGCAGGCGUGUAAAUUACCCAAUCCUGCCACAGGGAGGUAGUCACUAUAUAUCACAAUGGGGAAAUUGAGUUUUGCAAUUGGAUUGAGAACAAUGCACAACAAUUAUCGAUAAACAAUUGGAGGGCAAGUCUGGGCCAGCAAACGCGGUAUCCAGUACCCAAUGCCU